UACGGAGGGUGCAAACGUUGCUCGGAAUUAUUGGGCGUAAAGCGCACGUAGGCGGUUCGUUAUGUCGGAUGUGAAAGCCCUCGGCUUAACCGAGGAAGUGCAUCCGAAACUGGCGAGCUUGAGUACGGAAGAGGGUCUCGGAAUUCCCGGUGUAGAGGUGAAAUUCGUAGAUAUCAGGAGGAACACCGGUGGCGAAGGCGGGUCUCUGGGCCGAUACUGACGCUGAGGAGCGAAAGCGUGGGGAGCGAACAGG
rnacentral:rRNA from 1 species